rnacentral:lncRNA from 1 species
GAUUCCUGACGAGAUUACCCGUCUUCUUGAGCAUAAAAAGAAGAUCAGUCAGCUGCAUCUUGAGAACCCGUAAGAAGCCAAACUGGGGUUUUACAAAUGUAAAAGAGGGGUGAAAAAUAAAAAAAAAAUCAAAAUAAAAAAAAAAGAAAUGUAGAGAAAAAUAAAGAAAAAAUGGCGCCCUCAGACCCCAAGUUGACUGAUGCUG